rnacentral:rRNA from 1 species
AACGAACGCUGGCGGCAUGCCUAACACAUGCAAGUCGAACGAGACCUUCGGGUCUAGUGGCGCACGGGUGCGUAACGCGUGGGAACCUGCCCUUAGGUUCGGAAUAACUCCCCGAAAGGGGUGCUAAUACCGGAUAAUGUCAUCGGACCAAGGAUUUAUCGCCUUUGGGUGGGCCCGCGUUGGAUUAGCUAGUUGGUAGGGUACAAGCCUACCAAGGCGACGAUCCAUAGCUGGUCUGAGAGGAUGACCAGCCACACUGGGACUGAGACACGGCCCAGACUCCUACGGGAGGCAGCAGUAGGGAAUAUUGGACAAUGGGCGAAAGCCUGAUCCAGCAAUGCCGCGUGAGUGAUGAAGGCCUUAGGGUUGUAAAGCUCUUUUACCCGGGAUGAUAAUGACAGUACCGGGAGAAUAAGCUCCGGCUAACUCCGUG